AGUGAACGCUGGCGGUAGGCCUAACACAUGCAAGUCGAACGGCAGCACAGUAAGAGCUUGCUCUUACGGGUGGCGAGUGGCGGACGGGUGAGGAAUACAUCGGAAUCUACUUUUUCGUGGGGGAUAACGUAGGGAAACUUACGCUAAUACCGCAUACGACCUACGGGUGAAAGCAGGGGAUCUUCGGACCUUGCGCGAUUGAAUGAGCCGAUGUCGGAUUAGCUAGUUGGCGGGGUAAAGGCCCACCAAGGCGACGAUCCGUAGCUGGUCUGAGAGAAUGAUCAGCCACACUGGAACUGAGACACGGUCCAGACUCCUACGGGAGGCAGCAGUGGGGAAUAUUGGACAAUGGGCGCAAGCCUGAUCCAGCCAUACCGCGUGGGUGAAGAAGGCCUUCGGGUUGUAAAGCCCUUUUGUUGGGAAAGAAAAGCAGCAGGUUAAUACCACGCUGUUCUGACGGUACCCAAAGAAUAAGCACCGGCUAACUUCGUG
rnacentral:rRNA from 1 species